rnacentral:misc_RNA from 1 species
ACGCCUCAACUCUUGCGGUUCGCCGUCAUGAGCUUGGACCUUUUGGAGGUUUGCUGGCCUGCAGCCAGCUCCUCUCAAACAGAUCAGCUUACCAGUGUUUGGUGGCGUCACAGGUGUGAUAACCAUCUACGCUUGUGAUUGCCUGCCGAGUGACCUUCAGGGAUGGAGGUUUGCUGGAGCUCAUAAAUGUCUCUCCCCAGUGAAGACAGCUUUUUGAAC